rnacentral:rRNA from 1 species
UGGGGAAUAUUGCACAAUGGGGGAAACCCUGAUGCAGCGACGCCGCGUGAGUGAGGAAGUAUUUCGGUAUGUAAAGCUCUAUCAGCAGGGAAGAAGCAAGACGGUACCUGACUAAGAAGCCCCGGCUAACUACGUGCCAGCAGCCGCGGUAAUACGUAGGGGGCAAGCGUUAUCCGGAUUUACUGGGUGUAAAGGGAGCGUAGACGGUAUGGCAAGUCUGAAGUGAAAGCCCAGGGCUUAACCCUGGGACUGCUUUGGAAACUGUUAGACUAGAGUGCAGGAGAGGUAAGCGGAAUUCCUAGUGUAGCGGUGAAAUGCGUAGAUAUUAGGAGGAACACCAGUGGCGAAGGCGGCUUACUGGACUGUAACUGACGUUGAGGCUCGAAAGCGUGGGGAGCAAACAGG